AAGACGGAUUGAUAACGAGCUGUCAAUUUCGAUUUUCAUUAUUUCAUUUUUGACAAGCGGUCUGUCCCGGAAGUUCUCUCUGUCCGGCUUACACAGGGGCCGUAUCACACACAUUGUGCUGGCUGCAGGCAGACAAGCUUGUUCCUUUCAGGUUUCAGGCUAUAUACUAUAGUAUUUUCUGCCAGCCGCAAGUCAGUUUAAGUAAUGCUCCUGUGAGAAACAAAUAAUACCGGACAUCUGGUCACCGAGAAAAAUGGUUGGCCUGAGUUUUUAGUUUAGUUUUUUUUAUUUUGAAAGGCCAGAGCACGGGGGAGUGGCUUUCCACACCUACCUGCAGCCAUACCAGUCUCAUCUCUGGACCAGCAAGAUGGCCAGCAUUGCACUGCGCCACCAGCAGCGAUAAACAGAGGCAGGCGGCUCUUGAGGAGGAGAGGCCUCAGCUUCAGGUUUGGAUGCAGCUUCCCAGAAUCUCCCAGUGAUCCUCUUCCUCCUCCUGACAUCGUCUCUUCACUUUCUCCUCAUCUUUUAUAUACAUAAAUUAUAGGGAUAUUUUUUCAUGAUUCCCCAAACAUUGGCUGAAUAUCUGCUUGUAUGUUAUUGUAAUAAAUAUUUUUUUAUGAAAACAUUUUGUCCCUGUUUAUUUUGUAAGAUUUGAGUUUACAGCUCUGAAUACGUAAAGGUUGACACAAAUUAAAUCUGAAAUAAUUAUUUUCAUGUUUCUUGCUUAUAAAUCCAGUGCUAAGGAAUAAUGGAAAGAAUCAACUCAAAAGUUGUUCAUUAUAUUUAGUCAGUUGAGUCUAAUAAGUUAUAAGUAAAUAGUCUCAUGAUGGGGACAAAAGUUUUCAUUUCUAAUUGGACAGUCAUACUUCACUUAUAAAAAUGUGAAAAAA